rnacentral:misc_RNA from 1 species
GAAAUGCGAUAAUUAAUGUGAAUUGCAGAAUUCAGUGAAUCAUCGAGUCUUUGAACGCACAUUGCGCCCCCCGGUAUUCCGGGGGGCAUGCCUGUCCGAGCGUCAUUGCUGCCCUCAAGCACGGCUUGUGUGUUGGGCUUCCGUCCCUGGCAACGGGGACGGGCCCAAAAGGCAGUGGCGGCACCAUGUCUGGUCCUCGAGCGUAUGGGGCUUUGUCACCCGCUCCCGUAGGUCCAGCUGGCAGCUAGCCUCGCAACCAAUCUUUUUAACCAGGUUGACCUCGGAUCAGGUAGGUAUACCCGCUGAACUUAAGC